GACGAACGCUGGCGGCGUGCUUAACACAUGCAAGUCGAACGGAAAGGCCCCUUUGGGGGUACUCGAGUGGCGAACGGGUGCGUAACACGUGAGUAACCUGCCCUUGACUUCGGGAUAACUUCAGGAAACUGGGGCUAAUACCGGAUAGGAAUCCUUGCUGCAUGGUGGGGGUUGGAAAGCUUCGGCGGUUUUGGAUGGACUCGCGGCUUAUCGGCUUGUUGGUGGGGGAGUGGCUUACCAAGGCUUUGACGGGUAGCCGGCCUGAGAGGGCGACGGGCCAGAUGGGAAUGGGGAACGGCGCGGGAAGCCUCGGGGGGGAGGCGGGGGGGAAGAUGCAACAAUGGGGGGAGGCCGAAGCGAGAACGGCGGGGGGGGGGAUGGGGGCUUUGGGAUGGGAAACCGCAUCAGCAUGUGGGGAGGUGGGAGUGACGGUAAUGGGAGAAGAAGCAACGGCUAACUACGUG
rnacentral:rRNA from 1 species